rnacentral:rRNA from 1 species
AUGGAUGCAGUGCGUGCCGAUCGCGCACCCAUUCGCACAGGUGCCGCCGCCCUUCAACCCGGCGGCCUUGCCAUCGUUCAGCCGCGUUCCGCGCGUGAGCACCCUAUGCAAUGGACCAUCCACGCGCAAAGAGUGCGAUUUUUGAGCCACCCGCCUCAACGGUGCGCGCGUGAGCGGCGUGCUCAUAACGAGACCGUCGCCUUCGCGGACAACGCGGAAGUUCAUGGCGUCGUCAUCGGCUGCGCGCACACCACUACGGGGUUCCACAGCCACGAAGUGCUCGCCGGCGUCCUUGGCCUAGGCAAGCAGAGACCGUCGCUCAUCUGGACUCGGCUCCACCAGCACGGGCACGACGGCCGCUUCUCCUACUGCCUCUUCGGACCCAGGCAUCCGAACAGGCACGACUUCCUCCGGUUUGGCGCCGACGUCCCGGCCACGGGCCACAUGAGGAGCACCAAGAUCCUCUACAUGUGCAUGACCGACCCGGAGUUCAGCCCCUACCACGUCGGCCUCACAGGCGUCAGUGUCGUCAGUAUCGCCGGGCUGCCCCUGAGCAUGCCACAUGGCAGGAUCAAGGAGCUGUUCCAGCGCCACAAGUUGCACGACGGCAGGUGGUCCGACGGUUGCGUGAUCGAUCCCGGGACGGGCAUGACAGUGAUGAUCAAGCCCGCGUAUGACCUCCUAGUGCACGCGGUGGAAGAGGGUGUCAGGAGGCUGGGGCUGCCGAAAGUGGAGCGCGACCAGUACCCCGUCUGCUUCCGCGGCGCAACUCGAGCCGUCUUCGAGCACCUGCCGACGGUGACGCUGCACUUGGACGAUGACCUAGUGCUCCGGCCACAGCAGCUCUUCGUCCUCGUCCACCAAGACGCCUGCCUUACCGUGAUGCCGAGCGAGCACAUCACCAUCAUCGGCGCGAUGCAGCAGGUGAACACGCGCUUCGUCUAUGACAUCGCAGCGGGCAGGAUCCACUUUGCCCAUGAGGACUGCCAUGGCGACAUGGGAGGCCAGAAUUGA